CGUUAUUGUCGUCUUUCUGUGAGUGAGGCGGCUAACUGUGAGCUGCUGCUCGUUAUAAUUUACUGCUCGGUCGGUCCCGAAUUAUUUCAUAUUUGCCUGUACAUUUUUUAUUUAUUUUGAGCGAAUUUGAGUCGUGACAUGUCAAUGGAGAACAAAAACUGUGAACACAAGAAGGGUCAGGUGUUCUGCGAGGUCCUGAAAACAUCCUGGCAAAAUGAGAUGAUCAAGUUAGAUGCUCACCUAAUGUGUUGCUGAGUCAUCGAGGAUCCAGCUUGUUCUUGAAACAUUGAAGUUUGCCCUCUGCAAGUGAACGACGCCUUGUGGUGCCAUCCCAAAGAGGUUCAAAAUCACUCUCACGGAUCUUUUCCUGGACUGUGCCCAGCUGGUGGAAUCACCUCCCAAUCUCAAUCCGAACUGCUGAGUCUUUACUCAUUUUCAAGAAACAUCUUAAGACUCA